rnacentral:rRNA from 1 species
CACGUAGAUGGCGAGCGUUAUUCGGAUUCACUGGGCGUAAAGGGUCCGCAGGGGGCCCUCCAAGCCGGCCGUGAAAUCCCGGGGCUCAACCCCGGGGGUGCGGCCGGGACUGGCGGGCUGGAGUGCGCGAUGGGCAAUUGGAACACCGGGAGUAGCAGUGGAAUGCGUGGAUAUCCGGUGGAACACCGAUGGCGAAGGCGAAUUGCUGGCGCGCGACUGACCCUCAGGGACGAAAGCGUGGGUAG